CAGCAGCCACGGGAAAACGGAGGGUGCGAGCGUUACCCGGAAUCACUGGGCGUAAAGGGCGCGUAGGCGGCAUGUUAAGUCUGGUUUUAAAGACAGGGGCUCAACCCCUGGAGUGGACUGGAUACUGGCACGCUUGACCUCUGGAGAGGUAACUGGAAUUUCUGGUGUAGCGGUGGAAUGCGUAGAUACCAGAAGGAACACCAAUGGCGAAGGCAAGUUACUGGACAGAAGGUGACGCUGAGGCGCGAAAGUGUGGGGAGCGAACCGGAUUAGAUACCCGCGUAGUCCCUGUCUCUUAUAC
rnacentral:rRNA from 1 species